CGGGUUUUUUUCUGUUAGUUGCGACUGUAUUCGUUAUAGUAGUUAAUUUGCUAGUCCACGGGAUGUUCCCGCCGAAAUUGGACUUCGUUAUUAUGAAUAUUAAUAAAUUAAUAUGAGGUGUGUUUUUAUCAACUUAACCACUUGGUUGUUUUUGCUUCAGAAAAGCAACUAGUUAUAAAUGUAAGGGCUUUUUUGGACAACUUCGGUGAAAAAGUGUUGAUUUCGUAGUUCAGUCAGCGUAACUUAUAUCCGAGAGGUCUUACAGGCGCCACAGACACCUAUCAGCCUUUUGUAAGGAGGAGCAGCUCGAGUGCGGUGCGGUCAGUAGCCCUUCAAAUUAGAAAAGUGAGAAUGAUCUUGUCAAUGCUGAGAUUUUCAUGCAUCAACAGCCACUACAUCUGGAUCAGAUUGAACAAGAAACAGACAGCAAGGGUUGUCAGAUCAGAAACAGAAUGACACACAAACACAAGAAACUUCACAGGCAGAUCAACAUGCAAUUUGAAGACGUGUGAUAAAAUACAGAGAGGUGAAGUAGUGUGUCUUUCCAGAUCCCCAAAUCAUUCCCCCUUAAAAGAUGAGCUGAAGAGGAGAUUUGGGAAGAUGCUGUUUCAUAAGUCGCUUUGCCAGAUCACCUGUGGUUGGGAUGUCUGCUAACAAGAUGCCUUGCUGGUCUGAGUGAGUUUAAAGUCUUACACAGACAGUCCAGAAGUUCUGAAGUCCAUCUUCGAUUUCAUUGAUGCUGUCAUCGUAUUAAGUACAGCAUGAGCCAGAAUAGAUGUGUGGUGGUGGCCAUAAGAAGACUGUCAACUAAACCAACAACAAAAUUCAUAUUUGCAGUUUUUCUUGAAUAAAGUUUUUCUAUUCAGAUUAAUAAAAUGACUUUUAAACAUGAUUUUGUUUCAUAUUUUAUGAUUUUAUUCUAUAUUUAGAAAAUUCCACUUCUGCACUACUAACUGGAAACCUAACUGUUUGAAAGAAUGUGUUUUUAUCCAUAAAAAAAUAUUUUUAACAGCUGCUUUCAUGUUUAUUUGGAAAGGGUAGGCACCUGCCAUCUUAUUUGUCCACAUUUAAACUUUACCUUCCUUAAGUGUUUAGUUUUAUGAAUGGGGUUGUACUGUAAGUUAUGCGUAGCAAGUUGCAUUCAUAUGAUAAUUGCAUUAAAAAUGACACGUUUACAGUAAAUCAUUUAGUGAGUAUUGCAGUGUAAAGUAAAAAUCUAUAUUUAGUGUUAAAAACAACAAGGAAAUAGAAGGUUGAAAUUGCGUCAUGAUAUCAACCAUAAU